rnacentral:lncRNA from 1 species
AGGAAGGGCGUGACCUUAAAGGGGCUUGUGCCUUUCUUUGCCCCUUCCGCCUUCCGGAUGGAUGAAAGCAGAAGCAGUGGCUGGAGCUAGAGCAGCUAUUUAGGACUAUGAGAUGGAAGAAAUGUGGUGACAAUAGCAGAACAAAAAUAUAGAAAUCUUGGGUCUAUCUGAACUUUUUCUCCAGAGAAUGAAGAUACUGUCAUUACCUCUGCAAAGAAUGCAUCCUAGCACAGAUCAAAGAUCUUCCAAGUCCAGCCACACCAUUUUACAGUUCUGAACCUCGACUUAGGAAAGCAGUGGAUCUUUAUACAUUUGACACAUCCCUUCCCUCUAGGAUCUCUGUGGCUAUUGAAAAUGGACUGGAGAAGAUGAGUGGGAGUGAGAAGAGGAUAACAGAAUCAGAUAAAAACCUGUCAUGUUACUAAGAGCAGGAGAUGAGGCAGCCUGGACCAAGAUGGUGGCAGAGAGAAGAAAAUUGCUUGAGAGAAUUGAUUAAACUACUUGGUUAGCACAGAUAGAGCUGAAUCAAAAAUUAGGAUGGUAAGCUAAGUAAUUUUACACACAAAAAGGCAGAGUUGCAUUCAUAAUUAGUCUCUCCUUCAGACUGAAUAUUACAGACAAAAUAUAGCCAUUGGUGUUGCAAUCACUUCCUUUGGGUUUGUAUCCAAGGUUAAGAAUGUCAGCAUCCAAAGACCCAAAUUCUUAAUGUUUUUAGUUGAUAAAGUUUAUUCAAGGUAGACAGCCUGUGUUGAAUAACUUAGUCUUCCACAAAUUUCAAGAAAAAUCCAUUGUCCCUCUUCUCCGCCACAGACACACUUUAGUUGAACAUUAAGCAUAUUUAUUAAAGAAACAUUCUCCUUGUGCUUUUUCUCCCAAGAUGGAUGGUGUUCUUACUUAGAGUUAUAAGUGUCAGAAUAAAAAUGCCCAUGAGGUUGAAUUGUAUGAUGUUAUAGUAAAGUGAGAUAAACAUUCUCAGAAACAUGAUUGUGACUUAAAAAAAAAAAAAACCAACAAA